rnacentral:misc_RNA from 1 species
AGAGGCGCGCUGAUGUGUCUCUUUUUCUGGCUUUUCUCGUGCUAACUUCUCACACACCAACACUGCCCGCCACACGCACGCAUCGCAUGGGCACGGAAAGAGAGCGAGCGAGCGACACACCCACCGCCUCCCCCCCUUUCCCUACCCCCUUUCUCAUCUACACGCACACCUCCCUUCCUUCGGCUCAUUGCUGUUUUACGCCUUGUUUGUCGCCUGCUGCCAUUCGAGUGUGCUGUCGCUCGCUAGCUGCCGUCGCUUCGUCCUCCACUGGUGCUGGGCUGCUCCGCUACAGGGCAGCCAGGUGCCAUUGUGCGUCAGCUUGCCUCAGUGCGUCCGCCUCGACGUUCGCACCUUCCCUGUCAUCGGCGUCUACCGUUUUCUUUUUUUCUGUUGCAUGUGCCCGCUCCUUUUUGUCUCCGCGUUCCUACUUCUUCUCCACGCUCUUGCGGUGCCGGCCGUCCCUCCACCUCCCCCCGCCCGCCCCCUCUCGGACUCUCUAGCCUACGGUGUCUUCUCACUUCUUCCAUUCACGAUGCUGCAGUCGCUCGUGAACAGCAUCGUCUUUGCGCCCCCACGGGACCCGAACAGUCUGCAGCGGGUGCAGCUGCUGCAGCGCAAGCGGCACAUGAGCUUUACGAGCAAGAAGAGCGGCGAGAGAAUUUCGUACUUCCACUUUGAUUCAAAAGGCGAUCUCGUGACCAAGGACAACCUCGAACGGGUCGUGCGCUCCUCCAUGGUCCUGCUCUUCCACCACGGCAACGCCGAGGACCUCGGCGGCGCCUUCAGCUACGCGCAGUCCAUGGCCUGCGUCUUUGGAGUGGCAGUGGUGGUGUACGACUACUGCGGCUACGGUUUUUCUGGCUUUCCCGACGCUGCGACGCCGGCGGAGGUGACGGAGAAGAGCGUCUACAGCGACGCCGAUCACAUGUACGCCCACCUCCUCUCCCUCGGCUACCCUGCUCACCGCAUUAUUAUCGUUGGCCGCUCCGUCGGGGGUGGGCCGGCGUGCUACCUCGCUGAGAAGCAUCACAAGAAGGUGGGGGGCUUAGUGCUUAUAUCGACCUUUACCUCCUGCCUCCGCGUCGUCUCGUCUUGUUGCCUUCCGCACUUCUGCUGUUGCGUUGACUUGUUUCCUAACUACCGCCGCAUCGAGCACAUCAUGGAGUGCCCGGUGCUGAUGAUGCACGGAACCCGCGACAACGUCGUCCCACACCAUUGCUCGAGCGAGUUACUCGAGGACAUCGUAGCGCGCCGCAACAGCGCGUUGCAACGACUCUUGAAGAAGCGUGAGGGGGCGCGGGCAAAGCAGGCGAAACGCUCAAGUAAGCUGGGUGCUGCCUCAACAGGGCCAACAAACACUACGAAGGCAUCCGCGGCUAUCAGCGUUGCUGACGAGGCGCUCGCCACUGCCCAGCCACCCCCUGAUGGAGAGAAAGCCAGUGUGUUCGAUCUCUAUCGCCGCGCCUACGAUGGCCUGCCCGAGGCGGUGCGGCGGGUGGCGGAGGAGCGUCUCGACGUGACCGCUGCCAACGUCAGCAUCGGGGCCUUUCACAGGUGGUUUGCGGGCUGUGGGCACAACGACAUCGAGGCACGCGAGGGGCACACCUUCUCCGACAUGUUUGAGUAUUUUGUGCGCUUCGCGACCGCCUUCUCGAUGGAGCGGGAGGCGCUCCUGUCGGCCAAGCCGCUCACCGGUGCAGCUAAGGCAUCUCGUGACGCUUUUAACAGGGCUGACAGUGAGAUCCGCGAGUAGACAGCAGUGCGUCUUCUCUCUCUGAUGUUGUGUGUUGCGGCAGUGGCUUGCUCAUUUUACGUGACUCUGCCCCUUUUUUUCUCUCUUGGGUGACUGCUGAUCAACGGUCAUUGCUGCUAAGAGGGAGGAGGCGAUCUCCGCAGGGAAAGUGGGUGGAGAGGAGGGUAGCAACCCGCGGCGAUGGACAUUCAUCGAAUAAACGGGAACUCCCCUCCCCAUCUCUCCCGCCGCUGCCGCACUUUGCGGGAGGAAAGUGCCGGAAGGUUUUCUGCUUCUGCCCUCUCUGCACGUAUCCGUGUAUGGCAGGGGUGUGUGUAUCACUUGGGAACGCCGCGAUAAACUCCCCCCUGUCUUCGGCCUCUUCAGUGCGCGUGUGCGUGAUCUUUCAGCUUUACUUCUUGCCUCUGGGUGUACGUUUCACUUCUUGGCUCGUACUCUCGCUAUUUCGGCUUUUCGGUGGGCACACACACACACACACACACCUCCGCGUCCACAGUCCCGGGUGCACCGGCGCACCUAAUGGGAUGUCACGCUGGCCUCCGUGUACGCUUCUAGCUCGACGCUUGCACAAACGC